AUUGAACGCUGGCGGCAGGCCUAACACAUGCAAGUCGAACGGUAACAGGAAGCAGCUUGCUGCUUUGCUGACGAGUGGCGGACGGGUGAGUUAUGUCUGGGAAACUGCCCGAUGGAGGGGGAUAACUACUGGAAACGGUAGCUAAUACCGCAUAACGUCGCAAGACCAAAGAGGGGGACCUUAGGGCCUCUUGCCAUCGGAUGUGCCCAGAUGGGAUUAGCUAGUAGGUGGGGUAACGGCUGACCUAGGCGACGAUCCCUAGCUGGUCUGAGAGGAUGACCAGCCACACUGGAACUGAGACACGGUCCAGACUACUACGGGAGGCAGCAGUGGGGAAUAUUGCACAAUGGGCGCAAGCCUGAUGCAGCCAUGCCGCGUGUAUGAAGAAGGCCUUCGGGUUGUAAAGUACUUUCAGCGGGGAGGAAGGGAGUAAAGUUAAUACCUUGGCUCAUUGACGUUACCCGCAGAAGAAGCACCGGCUAACUCCGUG
rnacentral:rRNA from 1 species